UGGGCGGAGCGGCAGGACCGCGCUGCCCGGGGCCCUGGGGCUGGCCUCUCCUCCACGGGCACAGCGGGCAGGUGGAGCGGCACCGACCGAGGGAAGGGCUGGGCAAAAGGACCCGCGAGACCGGCGGAGUGGGGAGACCAUCGGGACAGAGCUUGGGGAGGGCAGGAAUGAGGUUUCCGUAUUGGCCAGGCAGGCGUGAGAAGGGAGAGGAAGCAGCAAAUUGCCCGGCUCAUUUCGUGUGCUGGCGACGGCCAAAUCCUGGACCCUUUUCCCAGGGAAAAGUCUGUUGAAUUUCAGUGUUUCUUCCUAGGCUGGGCUUUGGUUUGAGGCUUAGGGACAGAUUGCAAGCUCUCCCAGUUGCAGCCGGCAACAAAUGCCUCGGAUUGUUCCUGCUCUGUGAAGAAUAUUUGCUGACCAUCAAAAUGCAGGGGGGGCCAGUUUUACUUGGCAGCAGAAGGUGUGACUUUGUAGCCCGACAGUUCUUUUUUGCUAUCUCUUGCCAGUGUUCCACAGCUCUGCAGGUUACAGUUAAUUUUGGAAUGGUUACCCUGAGCAAGUCCCUUUGACAGUGGCCUAGGAGAUGCCUGGAAGAUGCUUUUGUGGCAAUCAGCUGAGUCCCUGUUGCUCCAGAUCAUCUUGACUGGAAGUCGUUGCUGUGUCUGGAAGGCAGCAGUGCCCAGGAGUGCUGCUUUUUGGGAUGACAUAAGGAAACUGCCUUGCAGUGGGUGUAAAACCUCAACGCACAUAUCUCUGGAUGUCUUCUGUCCCUCCUGAACACCUUCACUUCGGUCAUCUGUGGUCUUUGUGAGGGUCCCCAGGACAAGGGAAGAGAUGACUCCAUGUUUGGUUAACAUGCCAUCAGCCAUGUCUGCCUGCUAUCCUCCUUGGACCUUCAAGCCAGGAAGAGCUGCUAAGCCUGUGGUGUUUUGGAGAGAAAGGUUGUGGUUUCAGUUGAAUGGUAACUUUUAAUGCAGAGGUAAUGAUUCGCUUGUCAAGAAACAACAAAAAGCCUGCAUUAGUAACCAAAGAAACAUACAUGAAGUGUAAAUGUUUGAUCUAUAGAUAGUCACACAGGUAAUAUGCUUCAUAUUUUUGCAUUAUCAACUUAGUGAUCAAAAUAGAAGUCUUUUUGUAGCUGUGUAAGAUAUUUUUUAAAUACUCGAAUUCUGAUUUUUUUAUUCUUGUGCUGUGUAAUAAGGAUUCUAUUCCAUAUAUCUCAAAGAUAAAUUACUUUAAAAAGCAAAAAGUUGGUAGAGCCAGCUGUGUGAGUACUUUCUUAAACAGACACAAUAUCAGCUGGUAUCUGUCCUUGUUAGAUUAAAUCAGCCAGAGUGUGAGGUAACAGGGAAUUAGAGAAUUUUUAUUUUCGUGUUCACUCAUCAGCAUAAUAAAUAAUGCUAACUCAUGUUUAUUAGUCCUAACUUGUAGGUACCCAGUUUGUGGUGACUGGGAGUGGGGCUGGCCCAGCCCCAUCCCCAGUGGGUGCAGCUGUGAGCAGCAGGUGAGCAGCACUGGCAGCAAUGAGCCAUGGAGUGCCCAGGGGCACUGACCAACCCCCAAAGGGAGCAGAGGCACACAGGGGCAGGGCAUCAACAUGAGGGGAUAAAAGGCUGGGACAAAGAACAAGAGGAGCAGGCCCCUGAAGCCUUCUGAGGUGGCAGAAUAUUGCUCUGUAUGGGCAGACACCUGAAGCCUUCUGGUGAGAGGCUCACUAGCAGUUUCAAAGUAACAAGAGGAUAAAUGAUGCUGAUCUUUCUCCACACAAUGACACCUUUAAGAGAGAGUUACAGUCAAAACCACAUGCAUUCAGAUUGUGCAGCGUCGUGUCCGUGAACUUCCAGAGUUUGCAUUAAAAAGUGACAGAACAUCACAGUGCCAGAAGCUUCUCAUAUUGUGGCCCUGAAGGUUUGAGUGUGUCAGUGAUGAAGGUGAAUCCCAGCUGAUGCCAAUGAGAAUGCUGAUUCCACUUGACAAACGCAAAUCGCUCUUCUGGAUAGAGCUGGAGACUCCGAAAGUGCCAUUCCUGAGCACACCAAGAAAAGAACAGCAGUGCAGAUGCCUGUGCUUCGUGGAACAGGAAAUCAGCUGAAAAAUGAAGGACAAAGAGGAUGGAAAGCAAAGACUCAUCAAAAAUUAGAAAGCUAAAAGUGUAGGAAGAUAGCAGAGCACGUGGUGAAGCCAGGCCAGGCAUGCUCUCAGCGUGGGUGGGCAGCUCCUGCUGGGGCAGCUCAGCCCCACAGCCCCAGCACAGCACCUGCAACCACAUGGGGCCAUGGGACUCAGGCACAGCUAGAAACAGAAAAUACACACACCCAAUUAUUUCCAUUUUCCGUUAUUAAUACAUAUAGGGAAGAGUUAGACUCAGAAAAACUCCAUUUUUUUUGUCAAUUAAUUAAAAAUAAUGAUUUAAUAAA